AGCUUUGCUCAGUGGCAGUAUCGUAGCCAAUGAGGUUUAUCCGAGGCGCGAUUAUUGCUAAUUGAAAACUUUUCUCAAGUUUUGUAUUGUUAGCCCCUUUAACUUUUCACUUUCUCUUCAACUCAAUUAUAAAUUUCUUGAAGAUAGAAAUCCUGUCCUAU
rnacentral:snRNA from 1 species